rnacentral:rRNA from 1 species
CCUACGGGCGACAGCAGUGAGGAAUAUUGGUCAAUGGGCUUACGCCUGAACCAGCCAAGUCGCGUGAGGGAAGACUGCCCUAUGGGUUGUAAACCUCUUUUGUCAGGGAGCAACGCCGGCUACGUGUAGCCGGACUGAGAGUACCUGAAGAAAAAGCAUCGGCUAACUCCAUGCCAGGAGCGUCGGUAAUACGGGGGAUGCGAGUGUUAUCCGGAUGUAUUGGGUUUAAUGGGUGCGUAGGCGGAAUGCCAAGUCAGCGGUAAAAUCGCGGGGCUAAACCUCGUUCCGCCGUUGAAACUGGAGUUCUUGAGCGGACGAGAGGUAAGCGGAAUGCGUGGUGUAGCGGUGAAAUGCAUAGAUAUCACGCAGAACUCCGAUUGCGAAGGCAGCAUACCGGCGCCCAACUGACGCUGAGGCACGAAAGCGUGGGUAUCGAACAGGAUUAGAUACCCCAGUAGUC